rnacentral:rRNA from 1 species
CCUACGGGAGGCAGCAGUGAGGAAUAUUGGUCAAUGGACGAGAGUCUGAACCAGCCAAGUAGCGUGAAGGAUGACUGCCCUAUGGGUUGUAAACUUCUUUUAUAUGGGAAUAAAACAGGGUAUGCAUACCCUCUUGUAUGUACCAUAUGAAUAAGGAUCGGCUAACUCCGUGCCAGCAGCCGCGGUAAUACGGAGGAUCCGAGCGUUAUCCGGAUUUAUUGGGGUUAAAGGGAGCGUAGGUGGAUUGUUAAGUCAGUUGUGAAAGUUUGCGGCUCAACCGUAAAAUUGCAGUUGAAACUGGCAGUCGUGAGUACAGUAGAGGUGGGCGGAAUUCGUGGUGUAGCGGUGAAAUGCUUAGAUAGCACGAAGAACUCCGAUUGCGAAGGCAGCUCACUGGACUGCAACUGACACUGAUGCUCGAAAGUGUGGGUAUCAAACAGGAUUAGAUACCCGAGUAGUC